GUAAUGCUUUGGAAUCUUCCCAGUAGUGGGGAAUAACCAGUCGAAAGAUUGGCUAAUACCGCAUACGUCUGUAAAGGGAAAGCGGGGGCUCGUAAGACCUCGCGCUAUUGGAUGAGCCAAAGUCGGAUUAGCUAGUUGGUGGGGUAAUGGCCUACCAAGGCGACAAUCCGUAGCUGGUCUGAGAGGACGACCAGCCACACCGGAACUGAGACACGGUCCGGACUCCAUAACGGGAGGCAGCAAGUGGGGAAUAUUGGACAAUGGGGGAAACCCUGAUCCAGCGAACGCCGCGUGUGUGAAGAGGGCCUGCGGGUUGUAAAGCACUUAUUAGUGGGGACAAAAAGCUACGGAUUAAUACUCUGUGGUCUCUGAUUUAAAACCAAAGAAAAAGCACCGGCUAAACUACUGUGCCAGCAGCCGACGGUAAUACAGAGGGUGCGAGCGUUCAUCGGAAUUACUGGGCGUAAAGCGCGCGUAGACGGAAACGUAAGUCAGAUGUGAAAUCCCUGGGCUCAACCUGGGAACUGCAUAUGAGACUGCAUGGAUAGAGUAUCGAAGAG
rnacentral:rRNA from 1 species